UGACCAAUAGCUCAGUCAGUGGAGCAUGCAUGAGACUCUUAAUCUCGGGGUUGUGGGUUCGAGUCCCACGUUGGGCAA